rnacentral:rRNA from 1 species
GCCAGACUCCUACGGGAGGCAGCAGUGGGGAAUAUUGGACAAUGGGGGGAACCCUGAUCCAGCGACGCCGCGUGAGUGAAGAAGUAUUUCGGUAUGUAAAGCUCUAUCAGCAGGGAAGAAAGAAAUGACGGUACCUGACUAAGAAGCCCCGGCUAACUACGUGCCAGCAGCCGCGGUAAUACGUAGGGGGCAAGCGUUAUCCGGAUUUACUGGGUGUAAAGGGAGCGUAGACGGCAUGGCAAGUCAGAUGUGAAAGCCCGGGGCUCAACCCCGGGACUGCAUUUGAAACUGUCAGGCUGGAGUGCAGGAGAGGUAAGUGGAAUUCCUAGUGUAGCGGUGAAAUGCGUAGAUAUUAGGAGGAACACCAGUGGCGAAGGCGACUUUCUGGACAGUAACUGACGUUGAGGCACGAAAGUGUGGGGAGCAAACAGGAUUAGAUACCCCUGUA